CGGAGGGGCUAGCGUUGUUCGGAAAUACUGGGCGUAAAGCGCACGUAGGCGGCUCAGCAAGUCAGGGGUGAAAUCCCGGGGCUCAACCCCGGAACUGCCCUUGAAACUGCUAGGCUAGAAUCUUGGAGAGGCGAGUGGAAUUCCGAGUGUAGAGGUGAAAUUCGUAGAUAUUCGGAAGAACACCAGUGGCGAAGGCGACUCGCUGGACAAGUAUUGACGCUGAGGUGCGAAAGCGUGGGGAGCAAACAGGAUU
rnacentral:rRNA from 1 species